rnacentral:rRNA from 1 species
AGCAGCCGCGGUAAUUCCAGCUCCAAUAGCGUAUAUUAAAGUUGUUGCAGUUAAAAAGCUCGUAGUUGAAUUUCGGGGUUAGUAGACUGGUCAUGCCUCUGGUAUGUACUGGUCUUACUGAUUCCUCCUUUCUGAAGAACUGUAAUGCCAUUAAUUUGGUGUUGCAGGGAAUCAGGACUGUUACUUUGAAAAAUUAGAGUGUUUAAAGCAGGCUAACGCUUGAAUACAUUAGCAUGGAAUAAUGAAAUAGGACGUUCGAUCCUAUUUUGUUGGUUUCUAGGAUUGACGUAAUGAUUAAUAGGGAUAGUUGGGGGCAUUAGUAUUCAAUUGUCAGAGGUGAAAUUCUUGGAUUUAUUGAAGACUAACUACUGCGAAAGCAUUUGCCAAGGAUGUUUUCAUUAAUCAAGAACGAAAGUUAGGGGAUCGAAGACGAUCAGAUACCGUCGUAGU